ACCCGCUGAACUUAAGCAUAUCAAUAAGCGGAGGAAAAGAAACUAACAAGGAUUCCCCUAGUAACUGCGAGUGAACCGGGAAAAGCUCAAAUUUUGAAUCUGGUGGCCUUUUCAGGCCAUCCGAGUUGUAAUCUAGAGAAGCGUUUUCCGCGCUGGACCGUGUAUAAGUUUCCUGGAAAGGAACGUCGUAGAGGGUGAAAAUCCCGUCUUUGACACGGACUCCCAGGGCUUAUGUGAUGCGCUCUCGACGAGUCGAGUUGUUUGGGAAUGCAGCUCAAAUAGGGUGGUAAAUUCCAUCUAAAGCUAAAUACAGGCGAGAGACCGAUAGCGAACAAGUACCGUGAGGGAAAGAUGAAAAGAACUUUGGAAAGAGAGUUAAACAGUACGUGAAAUUGCUGAAAGGGAAACGCUUGAUGUCAGUCGCGUCGGCCGGGGAUCAGUCUUGCUUUUUUAUAAUCGCGAGGCGUACUUCCUGAUCGACGGGUCAGCAUCAGUUUUGACCGUCGGAAAAGGGCAUGAGGAAUGUGGCACUCUUUCGGGAGUGUGUUAUAGACUCGCGUCUUGAAUACGAUGGUCGGGACUGAGGAACUCAGCAUGGCCUUAGGGUUUCGGGGCUUAGGCUCACGUUCGCAUGCUUAGGAUGCUGGCAUAAUGGCUUUAAGCGACCCGUCUUGAAACACGG
rnacentral:rRNA from 1 species